UUUAAUGAGAGUUUGAUCCUGGCUCAGGACGAACGCUGGCGGCGUGCCUAAUACAUGCAAGUAGAACGCUGAAGAGAGGAGCUUGCUCUUCUUGGAUGAGUUGCGAACGGGUGAGUAACGCGUAGGUAACCUGCCUGGUAGCGGGGG
rnacentral:rRNA from 1 species